ensembl:lncRNA
GGGAGAGAAGAUGCAUUUUUUUUAAUUGAUUUUUUAUGAUCAUACGUAAUAAUUAUUUCCAUACAACAAAUGAAACUCUGUUUCCGACUUAUUUUCAUCUCACAGUGAGAUCCACUGGUGGUGUGUCUCAGACUGAGGCUUUUCAUGAGGUAGGGGCAUAUAGUAUUGCUCUCCUAUGUAGACUCUUUCAUGACUAACAUGGCUUGGUUUGAUGCUAUAAAAUUCCUCCUGUGUAAGGCUUAGCCUUUCCUUCUGCUAUAUUCAGCUGCCUGAUCUCAUGAAAUACAUGGGGACCCAGCACCUUUGAAGCCACUAGCCUUAAGUGAAACUGGGAUGAAUAUGGCCAGGAGUUAUUUGCAAAGCAAAGACAGACGCAAGAGCACACAUACACUCAGAGCAUGACUGCAUCACUGUAAUUUCCAUAGAAGCUAAAAAAUAAAUGAAUACAAAAGUAUGACUUCACUGCACUGUGUCUUCCUUAAUUGUAAAAGUUCAGCUGGGCUCGUUAACCACAUUUUAACGCUAAGCGUAUCUGAAAACUCACGCUGCAGGCCUGAGGCAACUGCACUGAGCGCAGCCACAACAAAUUGUGUUUCAGGCUGCAUGCAUCUCCCUCUGCACAGCCAGACCCUGACAUGGAGUGCAAAGGCCGAGCAUGCUGUGGCAUUGCUGUAGAAGAGAGAAAAUGAAACCACUGCCCCAAAUAAAAACGUGAAAGCUCAUCUGCACCACCAGAGGAUUGGGCCUUCCUUCACCCCCACUGGCUGUGAGACAAUAUUGCAUUAUUGGAACACGUGUACUUCCCAAAUUCCGGCAGAAAGUGCACGUGACCCCUUUCCAGGUCUUAGCAGCUGAGAAAUACAUACGUUGAACAGUUCUGUGAGGAAUAAUUUAGAGUCUGGAGCUCCCAUGGCUUCACUAUAUGCUCAGCAGCAGUUCAGCAACGGAUGCUGUUGGUAGGAACCCAGCACGUAUAUUGCACAAAGGAAUUCUCACGGAGGCAAAUGGACUUCAGCACAAAAGGUGUUGCACGCUCGUGUAGUUCACAUGGAGAGUGAAGGAAUGUUCCUUUGUCUCCACUAGAUCUUCUAAGGGAUUGCAGUGAGUCUCCAUGGCUCUAACUGGAUUCUGUUGUGGUUCUCAAUGGCUCUGACUGGAUCCCAUUGUGGGUCUCAAUGGCCAUUGUUUGGGUGUCCCAUAUUCAGGGCCAGGGCUGACUGUUCUUCUGUCAGAGGAAUGUGGACAGCAUUGCAGAUUGCAGUCAGUCAGACUGAAGUGUGAUGCUCCCCAGGGUUGAAAGAUGUCUCCUUUCUUCUUGACCAUCAGCCAACUGAAAUCACUUUGGUUUGGGGAACAGGGAAGGGCUGGAUCCCUGACAUAUGAAACAUACCUGUUAAUCUCUGGAUUUGUAAGUAGCAGCAGAAAGAGGUUGGGCCUGUUAUGGGAGCUGCUUGUAAGAACCGUGACCUGACAGUGAGCAAAAUGUCAACUCCUCUUAACAAUGGAAUCACUAGACUGCUGUUGAACGAGAAGUUGUUCUCAAGCAGGCAUUCUGUCAUUUAAGUGACAUUCUUUCCUACUGAAUGCAAGCCUCUGCGCAGCAUUUCCUACUAUUGUUGCCUAGCAUCUGGAUUACUGCAGCUCCCUUCAGGGGGCUGGCAUUACAAAUUCUCCAAAAGCUUCAAGCACAUAAUUAGCUUGCUCCCUUAGCAAGCAGAAUUUCCCAGAGGGGAAGCACCACUGGCCCGUAACUUGCCUGAGCUGCCAUCAAGAGUCGAGAACAAGGCUGGUUCUUGAAGCUGCAGGGAUCUUGCAAAUUCAUUUGGACCAUAACUGGUAGUCUUAAAAGUUUGCUGGGGCUCUGACGCAGGAUUUGAGCAGAUUUAAUACUGUGCUUCAGAUAGCAAAGUCCAAGAGGAUCUGGGCUGCGGUUUGGCCAGAGCUGAGCCAACCCAAAAAGUCUGUGUUGCCAGAAGCCUCCGAUCCUACUCCCAGCUGCAUCUUCUAUCCCUUCCAAAUGCCCGGGCAAGCCCCAUCAGCUCCCCCCAUCAGCUGAGUAGCCCAGCACACCACUCACCUUUCCAGUGGCUUCAUUUUCUGUUAGGGUUAGCAUGACAA